rnacentral:rRNA from 1 species
AGANUAGAUACCCUGGUAGUCCNCCCCCNUAAACGAUGGAUACUCGACAUACGCGAUACACUGUGUGUNUUUGAGCGAAAAGCAUUAAGUAUCCCGCCUGGGAAGUACGAUCGCAAGAUUGAAACUCAAAGGAAUUGGCGGGGGUCCGCACAAGCNGUGGAGCAUGUGGUUUAAUUCGAUGAUACGCGAGGAACCUUACCUGGGCUAGAAUGCUGGGAGACCGUGGGUGAAAGCUCACUUUGUAGCAAUACACUGCCAGUAAGGUGCUGCAUGGCUGUCGUCAGCUCGUGCCGUGAGGUGUUGGGUUAAGUCCCGCAACGAGCGCAACCCCCAUCACUAGUUGCCAUCAGGUAACGCUGGGAACUCUAGUGAAACUGCCGUCGUAAGACGUGAGGAAGGAGGGGAUGAUGUCAAGUCAUCAUGGCCUUUAUGCCCAGGGCUACACACGUGCUACAAUGGGGCGUACAAAGGGCUGCAACACAGCGAUGUGAAGCUAAUCCCAAAAAACGCCUCUCAGUUCAGAUUGGAGUCUGCAACUCGACUCCAUGAAGCUGGAAUCGCUAGUAAUCGUAUAUCAGCAAUGAUACGGUGAAUACGUUCCCGGACCUUGCACACACCGCCCGUCAAGCCAUGGAAGCCGGGUGUACCUAAAGUCGGUAACCGUAAGGAGCCGCCUAGGGUAAAACUGGUGACUGGGGCUAAGUCGUAAUCAAGGUAUCCAAGCAGAAUUCCAGCACACNGGCUNCCGUUANUANNNGNUNAAAACGACGGCCANGAUUCUG